AGGGAAUAUUGGACAAUGGGCGAAAGCCUGAUCCAGCCAUGCCGCGUGAGUGAAGAAGGCCUUAGGGUUGUAAAGCUCUUUUGGCGGGGACGAUAAUGACGGUACCCGCAGAAUAAGCUCCGGCUAACUUCGUGCCAGCAGCCGCGGUAAUACGAAGGGGGCUAGCGUUGUUCGGAAUCACUGGGCGUAAAGCGCACGCAGGCGGAUUGAUAAGUCAGGGGUGAAAUCCCGGAGCUCAACUUCGGAAUUGCCUUUGAUACUGUCUGUCUUGAGUCCGGGAGAGGUGAGUGGAAUUCCUAGUGUAGAGGUGAAAUUCGUAGAUAUUAGGAAGAACACCAGUGGCGAAGGCGGCUCACUGGCCCGAUACUGACGCUGAGGUGCGAAAGCGUGGGGAGCAAA
rnacentral:rRNA from 1 species